UUCAGUGGUUUACUCGCUAGAGGCGCUGAUCAUUGUUUCCUAACUGGACGAGGCGGGUGUUGGCGCAGUAAGGGAAAUGGGAGAACUUUUCACCGGAUCCCCUAACAUCUGUGCCCACCAACCAGUUGUUCAAUGUUCAUCCUGUAGUUCCAGUGUUUAUAGCAAAAUUCAACCAUUAAAAAAUAAGAGUUUAGUGUUCAUUUGAUUUGAUCAUAAUAUUUCAUUUAAUUUACCGGCUACCGCUCCCACUUUAGUGAAGAAAAAGUGUAUCUAAAAUAAAAUGUGGAACUGGAAUACUUUUGAUAGAUUUAGCCGUCGAUGGUAUUACACCGCAAUGCCAUUUGCCAUGGCAAUUAAUUGCUAUUACUGGUACAAAAUAUUCACCGUGAGACAAACAAUGGAAAGAGAUUACCAGAUGGAAAGACGACAAAGACGUACAGCUGAGGCAGAAAAACGUCUAGCAGAGGCUUAAAAAUGUGAAGAAUGAAGAGGAAAAACGAAUGCUCCGAAGCCAAACAGAAAUAAGGAAAAUGAAGUCUCUCUUAAAGUUAAAUUGUACCAAUUUAUUUAUGCCUAUGUAUUGAUUGGGUGAUAAAUUCGAACAACGAUGAUUUUGAAUCGAAAUAUCGAAAAUAUAGUCGAGUUCAAUUUUU